rnacentral:lncRNA from 1 species
GUCCUGCACGUAUGCAGGAGGUUUGUCGCUGAAGCCAUGCGAUGGAUCCAGAGAGACUUUUUAAUAAUCCUUAGGUAAUAAUUUAAGUUGUGAAGUGAUGCGUAUUAUGUUGUGACUGUCGCUUGAAUUGAAGCCAGUGCUCUAGGAGUUCAUUGUCUUCCCACAAUCUGCAGUGUCAUCUCAAAACACGUCUUGAUGCUUUGCUCCUUGAGAAUACACUAGCCCAAGGUGACUGUAUUUAUGUAAUAAUCUACGGCUUCUAGCGUCAACGUACUUAACCUUGCCUGAAAUGUAUUCUUAACCUUAGGUACUGCUUCUUUAAUAGAAUGUAGACAAUAGACGUGUUUACCUACAGCUUGUCUGUUUGCUAAUGUAUUUGAGUCAAAGAAGGCAUCCUCACCGAGGUCUGGUGUGCGAGAGCACCUGAAUGAAGCGAGCGGUUUACAGCGCACACUUGGGGUGCAUCACCUGCAGUCCACAGGAUAUUACUGUUGUCCUGGAAGUUAUGAGACCCUGAAGUAGUUUAUCUCAUCUUCCCUCAGAUGAAUAUUAAACUUGAAAAUAUAAUUUAUUUACCAAAAAAAGAAUUAAAAAUGUAUCCUCUCUUAGAUGUGACUUAGAGGCUGGAUUACAGUUUCCGACUUUAGCGUAAGAUAAUUUCCUCUCUCCUUUCACAAAACAGACUUUUAAUCACUCACAUAGAGUUUAUCACAUUAAAAGUUUGUCAUGUUAUGCAUAAAUUUUAAAAAUACUCAUACUUUGAGCUUAGGUUUUAAAGGAAUUUUUCUCUUAGAUAUAAAACACAAAUAUUUUAAAUGCUAUGGGAGUGUAUUUUAUGUCCUUAUGAUAAAUGAGCAACCGGGUUAUUAUAAGUAACCUUCCAAGUACACUAUAUAUUUUCAAGGUCUCAUUAAUUUUGCUUUAAGACCAUGUACCAUGUUUUCACCAGUGGAUUGGAUUCACUGACUCUUUAUCCUGAAGUGGGCUGCGUUGAUUUUAAGAGUGAAGUGUACAAAAGGAUGUGAAAUGGGUUUUUAAAUAAUGCAUUUUUAGAUUAAAGUGCCUAGAGUAAGGUUAAUGAUGAGAAAAUAAAAAGUGAAAAGAAGUUUACUUUUUUAAGAUUGUAACUGUGUAGAUACAUCACAGUUAUGUAAAUCGUUAUUAGAUGUAGGAUGUAGACCCGUGCCAUUAGUGUGUCAGGCUCAGGCCGUACCCCUGUCCUCAGUGCAUGUGGCCUGGCCUUCUCCUCUCGCCCUUUGUUUCCUGACCACCAGGCAGCAGUCUGCCUGAGGACAAAGCCCUGAGCCCGACUUUCCUUAUGCUUUCACAGCAGAUGUUUUUACCUAUGAGAUGUCACCGAUGUGAGUGACACACGUGUGCGUGCCUUCCUGUUACCACAUGAGCAAGACAGUUGUGGAUUAUAGUCACUUAUUCAUUGGAGAUCUAAGUAUUUUGUCCUGUGGUUUUGUAAACAGAGAUAUUGGGGGGAUCCUCCUUGAAAUAGUUUGGAAGAAUUGCACUGUAUAGCAGUAAUCCCGCAGUGGUGUGAGAUGAUCCUGUGGGUGACUCUUCCAAAAAGUAUUUGAUUUCUUUCUGUUUUUAGAUUGCAGUUAAAAAAUAAAUAGAUUGCCCAUCUUCAAGAAAGGGUUGGUUUGUCAAACUCAGUGCUUAAGUUUUGAUGGGCUAACUAACUAGAAUAUAAACAAGAUCGUUUGUGGCCUUUGAUAAAAGAGAUAAGAAUGACCAAAUAAAAUUUUGGGAGCAAUAAAUGUAGGAGAAAAAUCUUUGGUGGGGGUUUGGGAAAGCUUAACUUUUUAAAGGAUAAUGUCUUUUUAAAAAGAACAUCUCUGGCUCUGACUGUUGAAAAUACUUAAGAUAUACAUACCAGUUUUAUUUGCCUUAAAAUCAAACAGAGAAGCAAUGCUUUAACAGAUAAAAACAGAAGGUCAAACUAGGCUAGAGCCUGUUAGGGAAAGAAGAAAAGGCUAACCUAGUGGACUCAUGGUGUUAACUGAAGAUAGCUACCACAUGCAAGAUGUGCACGGGCAGAGAGUUGAUCCUGAAAAAAUAGCCAGUUCCUCUUUUCUGGAAGAAAAACUGAUAAAAAUUCAGUCGAUUGAUUUUGCUUUGUCUUGCUAUGUUCUUGUUCAACUAAAAAUGUAGUUAUUUCUUCCCGAAGGUUAACAAUACUACGUUCAUGGAAUAACAAAGCAGAAUUCUCUUCUUUUACAAGAAGCCAAGUUUUUAAUUCUAUAAAAGUCAGCUCCAAAGAGCUGUCUCUGUCUCCUGAAAUAGUUUGCACCAGGAGUCUGUUGAUUGUGAAGCUGACUAUUGUAAGUACUUACAAGUGUUCCUUUGCUUUAAGGUGUAGGCUUUCCUACUUGCUUUGCAGAAGUUAGCCUAGAAAUGAGGAAGGCCAGAGGAAGGGUGAGAAAGUGGUAGUGAACUACUCCGCGGCCUGUCGUGACCAGACUGGAAGCUAUGUUAUAACACUGGUUUUUAUUUUUUAUAUGAACAUUAUUAAUAAUUAACAUAAUUAAUUGGACUGUAAUUUUAAAGUAUGAGAAUUAGCCUGAAUUAAAAUCUGUGAAUUUUUAAAUUAAGGAAUAUGUAUGUGAAAGUAAGUGUUUAUGUGCCCUGUAAUAAAUGCGAAUA